GAUGAACGCUGGCGGCGUGCCUAAUACAUGCAAGUCGAGCGAACGGACGAGAAGCUUGCUUCUCUGAUGUUAGCGGCGGACGGGUGAGUAACACGUGGAUAACCUACCUAUAAGACUGGGAUAACUUCGGGAAACCGGAGCUAAUACCGGAUAAUAUUUUGAACCGCAUGGUUCAACAGUGAAAGACGGUCUUGCUGUCACUUAUAGAUGGAUCCGCGCUGCAUUAGCUAGUUGGUAAGGUAACGGCUUACCAAGGCAACGAUGCGUAGCCGACCUGAGAGGGUGAUCGGCCACACUGGAACUGAGACACGGUCCAGACUCCUACGGGAGGCAGCAGUAGGGAAUCUUCCGCAAUGGGCGAAAGCCUGACGGAGCAACGCCGCGUGAGUGAUGAAGGUCUUCGGAUCGUAAAACUCUGUUAUUAGGGAAGAACAAAUGUGUAAGUAACUGUGCACGUCUUGACGGUACCUAAUCAGAAAGCCACGGCUAACUACGUG
rnacentral:rRNA from 1 species